ACGCUCCGUGUGUUUUUCUGAUUUUAAUUAUUUUUCUUUUAUUAUUUUUAAUUGCUUUUUCUUUUAAAAUUCAUAAUAAUUCCAUUUUUCAUCCAAAAAAUCUCAACAUAAUUUAUAAAAUUCUCUUUUAUUUUUCUUCAUCAACUUCUGAUCACCAUAUGGACAAGGUAGUUCUGAGCAUCAUUUGAACUCAAACAAGUUACCACAACAUAGUCC
rnacentral:lncRNA from 1 species